rnacentral:rRNA from 1 species
ACGGAAGGCAGCAGUGGGGAAUAUUGGGCAAUGGGCGAAAGCCUGACCCAGCGACGCCGCGUGAGGGAAGAAGGUCUUCGGAUUGUAAACCUCUUUCAGCAGGGAAGACAAGAGACGGUACCUGCAGAAGAAGUCACGGCUAACUACGUGCCAGCAGCCGCGGUAAUACGUAGGUGGCGAGCGUUAUCCGGAAUUACUGGGUGUAAAGGGUGUGUAGGCGGGGAAGCAAGUCAGGUGUGAAAAUUUUGGGCUCAACCCAGGACGUGCACUUGAAACUGUUUUUCUUGAGAGUGGGAGAGGUAAACGGAAUUCCUGGUGUAGUAGUGAAAUGCGUAGAUAUCAGGAGGAACACCGGUGGCGAAGGCGGUUUACUGGACCACAACUGACGCUGAGACACGAAAGCGUGGGGAGCAAACAGGAUUAGAUACCCUGGUA